rnacentral:rRNA from 1 species
UACGUAGGGUGCGAGCGUUAAUCGGAAUUACUGGGCGUAAAGUGUGCGCAGGUGGCCGCGCAAGUCGAGUGUGAAAUCCCCGAGCUUAACUUGGGAAUUGCGCUCGAAACUACGUGGCUCGAGUGUGGCAGAGGAAGGUGGAAUUCCACGUGUAGCGGUGAAAUGCGUAGAGAUGUGGAGGAACACCGAUGGCGAAGGCAGCCCCUGGUCGCAACACUGACGCUCAUGCACGAAAGCGUGGGAGCAAACAGGAUUAGAACCGUACCGUCGAGAUCCAAGUC